rnacentral:rRNA from 1 species
CCGGUUGGGGAUGGCCCUGCGUCCCAUUAGCUAGUUGGUGAGGUAACGGCUCACCAAGGCGACGAUGGGUAGCCGGCCUGAGAGGGUGACCGGCCACACUGGCACUGAGACACGGGCCAG